GGGGAUAUAGCUCAGUUGGUAGAGCACACGGCUCAUAUCCGUGCGGUCAUAGGUCCGAGUCCUAUUGUCCCUA
rnacentral:tRNA from 2 species